CCUACGGGUGGCAGCAGUGAGGAAUAUUGGUCAAUGGCCGCAGGGCUGAACCAGCCAAGUCGCGUGAGGGAUGACGGUCCUAUGGAUUGUAAACCUCUUUUGUCAGGGAGCAAAGGGCGCCACGUGUGGCGUUUUGCGAGUACCUGAAGAAUAAGCCACGGCUAACUACGUGCCAGCAGCCGCGGUAAUACGUAGGUGGCAAGCGUUGUCCGGAUUUACUGGGUGUAAAGGGCGUGUAGCCGGGUUGACAAGUCAGAUGUGAAAUCCUGCGGCUUAACCGCAGAACUGCAUUUGAAACUGUUGAUCUUGAGUACUGGAGAGGCAGACGGAAUUCCUAGUGUAGCGGUGAAAUGCGUAGAUAUUAGGAGGAACACCAGUGGCGAAGGCGGUCUGCUGGACAGCAACUGACGGUGAGGCGCGAAAGCGUGGGGAGCAAACAGGAUUAGAUACCCGUGUAGUC
rnacentral:rRNA from 1 species